GACAGAGGGGGCAAGCGUUGCUCGGAAUUACUGGGCGUAAAGGGCGCGUAGGCGGGAUGGCAAGUCGGUCGUGAAAUCCCUCGGCUCAACCGAGGAACGUCGAUCGAUACUGCUGUUCUUGAGGAUUGCAGAGGAGACUGGAAUUCCCGGUGUAGCGGUGAAAUGAGUAGAGAUCGGGAGGAACACCGGUGGCGAAGGCGGGUCUCUGGGCAAUUCCUGACGCUGAGGCGCGAAAGCGUGGGGAGCAAACAGG
rnacentral:rRNA from 1 species